UACGUAGGUGGCAAGCGUUGUUCGGAAUUACUGGGCGUAAAGGGCGCGUAGGCGGUCCUUCAAGUCAGGCGUGAAAGCCCCGGGCUCAACCUGGGAACCGCGCUUGAGACUGGCGGGCUAGAGUUCGGGAGAGGAUGGUGGAAUUCCCAGUGUAGAGGUGAAAUUCGUAGAUAUUGGGAAGAACACCGAUGGCGAAGGCAGCCAUCUGGACCGACACUGACGCUGAGGCGCGAAAGCGUGGGGAGCAAACAGG
rnacentral:rRNA from 1 species